UACGUAGGGCGCAAGCGUUGUCCGGAAUUAUUGGGCGUAAAGAGCUCGUAGGUGGCGUGUCGCGUCUGCCGUGAAAGCCCAUGGCUUAACUGUGGGUCUGCGGUGGAUACGGGCAGGCUGGAGGCUGGUAGGGGCAAGCGGAAUCCCUGGUGUAGCGGUGAAAUGCGCAGAUAUCAGGAGGAACACCGGUGGCGAAGGCGGCUUGCUGGGCCAGUUCUGACGCUGAGGAGCGAAAGCGUGGGGAGCAAACGGG
rnacentral:rRNA from 1 species